rnacentral:rRNA from 1 species
UACGGAGGAUCCAAGCGUUAUCCGGAUUUAUUGGGUUUAAAGGGUGCGUAGGCGGCCUGACAAGUCUGAUGUGAAAUCCCUGGGCUCAACCCAGGGCCUGCAUCGGAAACUGUCGGGCUUGAGUAUGGGAGAGGUGAGUGGAAUUUCCGGUGUAGCGGUGAAAUGCGUAGAUAUCGGAAGGAACGCCCGUGGCGAAAGCGAGGUCCUGGACGCCUACUGACGCUGAGACGCGAAAGCCAGGGGAGCGAACGGG